UAGGUCGAAAUUGAAAGGCGGCUUCGGCUGUCACUUAUGGAUGGACCCGCGUCGCAUUAGCUAGUUGGUGAGGUAACGGCUCACCAAGGCGACGAUGCGUAGCCGACCUGAGAGGGUGAUCGGCCACACUGGGACUGAGACACGGCCCAGACUCCUACGGGAGGCAGCAGUAGGGAAUCUUCCGCAAUGGACGAAAGUCUGACGGAGCAACGCCGCGUGAGUGAUGAAGGCUUUCGGGUCGUAA
rnacentral:rRNA from 1 species